UACGGUUCGGAACGUAACCGUUACGUACGGGGUCGGACGGGUAGAGUACGNGUACGGACNCGCUGCACGGGGGAUAAGCGGAAGAAAUUCCGUCUAAUACCGCGUAACAACGUUGGGAGGCAUCUCCCGAUGUUUAAAGAUUUAUCGGCUGCGGAUGGCCAUGCGGCGCAUUAGCUAGUCGGCGGGGUAACGGCCCACCGAGGCGACGAUGCGUAGGGGUUCUGAGAGGAAGGUCCCCCACACUGGUACUGAGACACGGACCAGACUCCUACGGGAGGCAGCAG
rnacentral:rRNA from 1 species